AUUGAACGCUGGCGGCAGGCCUAACACAUGCAAGUCGAGCGAGCGUCGGACGGGUGAGUAAUGUAUGGGGACUGCCCGAUAGAGGGGGAUAACUACUGGAAACGGUGGCUAAUACCGCAUACCAUCGGAUAACCCAUAUUGGAUUAGCUAGUAGGUGGGGUAAAGGCUCACCUAGGCGACGAUCCCUAGCUGGUCUGAGAGGAUAAUCAGCCACACUGGGACUGAGACAAGGCCCAGAGUGCAAGGGAGGCAGCAGUGGGGAAGAUGGCACAAAGGGCGAAAGCCUGAUGCAGCGACGACGCGGGGGGGAGGAAGGCGUUCGGGUUGUAAACCUCGUUCGCAAUCGAACGGGUAGGUGGAGAAGAAGCGCCGGCUAACUACGUGCCAGCAGCCGCGGUAAUUC
rnacentral:rRNA from 1 species